GACGAACGCUGGCGGCGUGCCUAACACAUGCAAGUCGAACGGGGUUGUUCCUUCGGGGACAACUUAGUGGCGAACGGGUGAGUAACGCGUGAGGAACCUACCUCUCAGUGGGGGACAACAGUUGGAAACGACUGCUAAUACCGCAUAAUGUUUCUGGACCGCAUGAUCUGGAAACCAAAGAUUUAUUGCUGAGAGAUGGCCUCGCGUCUGAUUAGCUAGUUGGCGGGGUAACGGCCCACCAAGGCGACGAUCAGUAGCCGGUCUGAGAGGAUGAACGGCCACAUUGGGACUGAGAUACGGCCCAGACUCCUACGGGAGGCAGCAGUGGGAAUAUUGGGCAAUGGGGGAAACCCUGACCCAG
rnacentral:rRNA from 1 species